rnacentral:lncRNA from 1 species
UGCUUAUGAGUUCUCUUAUUUCAGUGCUUUGUGUCCAAGAUUUAAUAUUCGUUGUUUAGUGCCUUGCAGUGAUAUUUAAAGUUGAGCCACUUGCAAUAGUUGUUAUAGAAUGUUCAUAUGUUGUGUUAAUAUUUGAACCACUGUCCUAUAUUAUGGUCAGGUUGAGUGCUCACAGACAUGAGGCCUAAAUUAAUAUAUUGUUUUUUUCCCUAAUCCCUAUUCUGACAAGCCAGGUGUGGGUAGUUAGGUAGGUAAAUAAUUUUAUUUUUCCCAAAAGCCUGAAUAUUAUCGGAUGAUCCGGCAAGCCCGAAAAUCAGAAAUGAAUAAAAUAAUAUUUGGCUUAGUUUUGACAAUAAAAUUUUAUGAGUAGGGCCAUUUUUGCAGGGUCGGUCAGGAUUGGAGAAACAAACAAUAUUUUAUAUUAGGCAUGAUUUUUUUUUAUUAAUUGUUAUUGACUUUGAAC